CCCACGAUCCCGUCGCGCUGCCCACCGGCGUCCUCGUCAUCGUCGUCGACGCCGCCGCCACCGCCACCGAUCCGCGGCAGCGACCAACCAUCUCCCAAGUCGGCGGCAGGAACCCUACCUCAUCGACUUCAGCGCGUGCGGCGGCGGCCAGUGUUUGAUCGAGGUCCUGAUCGAACUCCCAUUAAGAGACCUCGCUCCUCAUCGCAAUUUUUUCUCCUUCUGACGCAGCGGACGCAGCGAUACGGCGGCCGAUAGCACCACAGACCUCUAAAUCAUGGUGCUACGGCACGGGUAAUCGAUGGCAUCGAACGAUGGCCAAAACGUGAGGUGCUCUGCGCUCCAUCAACUCCGGGAUGCCGCAGUCGGCUACUUCGGCAGAGCAUUGCCCGCCUUCGGCAACAUCCUCGUUGAGGAGGGUGCCACCGCGCUCUGCAGAUUGCCUUCGGCAGAGCAUUGCCCACCCAGGUCUUUCUCUCUCCUCUGCAGAUUGCCAAUGCUCAAGGCAUGUUGUGGCUUGUGAAUUUGAUCCCGACGGGUAAUCAAAUGGAUUGCUCAUAACAUUAACUAGCAUCUCAUACUAUGCAUAGAUCGGAUCACUGGCUUCUAACUGAACUCUGUGCUCUGUUGCUGUAUCACAUAUUAAUAAAAAUUCAAAGGUCUGAGUAUUCAUUUUAUUUCCGGAUAUGCAGCUGGUCUUAAAAGGAGAAUCAAUACACCAAAGUGCUACGAGAUCAUUAUUAAAAGAUAUUGAUAUGAAUCUGGAUUCUUGAACUAUAAGAUGUGGAUGCUGAAUUUCCUAUCAGUAAUGUUUUAUUUUGAAGUAUCAGUAAAGAGCACUGUACCAUUAUUUGAUUCCUGUUAGGUUGAACGUUUUUAAAAUAUCGGUAGAGAGUCUGUCAAUCAGUAGGAUUCUUUUUCAUCCCAAAGCAUUCAUUUCUUUCUGAAUAGUAGUCAUGCGAUGGAAGUAGAAGCAAUACUAUUUGAUUUAUUUUGGUUAUUAAUAGUACUAUAUGGAUAGAGACCACAUUUACAAUCUGACAGCAUGUUUUUACCUCAAUGAUCUAAGCAAGUUCAAUGUUUAGAACCUGAUUAAACUAGCCAUUGCUAACUCCUUAGGCAAAAUUAUUAGUAUGAUAGACAUACCAGUAUGCUUGAUCACUUUCAGUUUUCAGUAUGGUAUAUAUAUUCUGAUCUGGGUAUCUGACAUACCGCAUCUUCAAGAUUUGAUAACAAUGGAGGAUAAGGACGCCUUGCUUUGCGGAUAAGCUUGUGUUGCUGCCUAGGUACGUGAGGCUUUGAUGCAAAUUGACAUUUUUUAAGUAUGUUUCUUUGUCCUUUUUUUUCCAUUUGCCUCAUUGCUGACUGCAUUCAUGUGAAGCUUAAUUGACAUUUGCAUAGCUUAAUUGUAAUUGAUCAAAGAAGUUGCAACUGAUCAUUUUGCAUAGGAACCAUAUAAAUGGUUGUCCUGUAAAAGCUUCAUUACACUAGAAGAUUCUAGAGGGUUGGAGAAAUGCUGGAGCUCUGUAUGCUACCCCUCCUUAAGGAACUCUAUUCUUGUGAUAAUUUUACAAACAGUGAAGUUCAGUUCAAAUUUCAGAAAACCUUUUUGAAACAUCGUUAUCUGUUGUCACAUUGGUUUGGUCUCUCAGGAACAAGAACAUUUUCCUUAAUAUAUUCUCUCUUGAAUUAAGUCUGCAAAUGUGCAUAAUGGAGCCACACCGUUAGCUGUUGUCACAUUAUGAUGUUCAAGAAGGCGCCCUGCAAACUGUGAAGUUACGGAUCAAGUACAGGGUUGAUGUCAAUGUUUCUGAUGAUGCAGGUUGGUACCAUUUUCAGAUCAUCCCAAUACUUUCCAGGGACACAUGAAUUUCUCAUAAACAUAUUUCCUCUCAUGCACAGUAUUUUGCCAUCACAGUAUCGUGUACUAUCUGUCAUCUGCUUUCCAAUUCGUUUGUCAAUUCAGAGCUUGUGAGAUUGUCGCUUGUCAAUGGUGUGGAUAGAACAAGAACAACUAAAGUUUGCCCCUAUGGUUUGCUGAUGAGCAAUAUAUACCAAAAAAAAUCUGUUGCCUAUAAUACAUUGCGCUGUCAUUUUAGAUACACUUUAUGUGGUUUCACAAAACAAAUUGAUUGAGUGGCUUUAGAAGUCAUGAUGUAAAUGAUUUGGUUCUUCGGAUUGUCAUUGUCACACAGGAUGUGUACACCUGACUAUAAUCAAUGUGUUCCUAUCAGCAAUGUCAGUGAAACGGUAAGUAUUUUAGGAGUUUGGUGUUUCUUCUUGCAGCAAUUUCUGUUUGGUAUUAUCACCUAGCAAUACUGAUUUACGGUCUGACACAAUGUAUUCUGCUUUGGCAGGACCCAUCCUCCUUGGACCCAUGCUGCCCAUCCAAAUACACAAUCUGCUUUGAUCUGUUUAAUUUAAAAACUACUAUGUAUAUGAUUGUGUGUGGAUACUAAUAGACCUUAAAUGCCAUGCCAUAUGUGUUCUGAUAA